GAUGAACGCUGGCGGCGUGCCUAAUACAUGCAAGUCGAGCGAACGGACGAGAAGCUUGCUUUUUUGAUGUUAGCGGCGGACGGGUGAGUAACAUGUGGAUAACCCACCUAUAAGUCUGGGAUAACUUCGGGAAACCGGCGCUAAUACCGGAUAAUAUUUUGAACCGCAUGGUUCAAUAGUGAAAGACGGUCUUGCUGUCACUUAUAGAUGGAUCCGCGCUGCAUUAGCUAGUUGGUAAGGUAACGGCUUACCAAGGCAACGAUGCAUAGCCGACGUCAGAGGGGGAUAGGCGGCACUGGAACUGAGGCACGGUCCAGAGUACUACGAGAGGCAGCAGACGGAAAUGGUCCGCAAUGGGGGAGAGCCUUGCGGAGCAACGGCAAGUGAGUGAUAAAGACGUACGGAUCGUGAAACUGUGUUACGAGGGAAAAACCUAUUUGGACGUAGCUGUGCAGAUCUUGACGGUACCUGAUCAGGAAGCCACGGCUAACUACGUG
rnacentral:rRNA from 1 species